rnacentral:rRNA from 1 species
GACGAACGCUGGCGGCGUGCCUAAUACAUGCCAGUAGAACGCACAGUUUAUACCGUAGCUUGCUACACCAUAGACUGUGAGUUGCGAACGGGUGAGUAACGCGUAGGUAACCUGCCUGGUAGCGGGGGAUAACUAUUGGAAACGAUAGCUAAUACCGCAUAAUAUUGAUUAUUGCAUGAUAAUUAAUUGAAAGGUGCAAUUGCACCACUACCAGAUGGACCUGCGUUGUAUUAGCUAGUAGGUGAGGUAACGGCUCACCUAGGCGACGAUACAUAGCCGACCUGAGAGGGUGAUCGGCCACACUGGGACUGAGACACGGCCCAGACUCCUACGGGAGGCAGCAGUAGGGAAUCUUCGGCAAUGGACGAAGUCUGACCGAGCAACGCCGCGUGAGUGAAGAAGGUUUUCGGAUCGUAAAGCUCUGUUGUAAGAGAAGAACGGGUGUGAGAGUGGAAAGUUCACACUGUGACGGUAUCUUACCAGAAAGGGACGGCUAACUACGUG